GGGGUUGUGGCUCAGUGCUAUAGUGCUUGCCUAGCAUGUAUGAAUCAUUGGGUUCUAUUCUCAGCAAUGCCU
rnacentral:tRNA from 1 species